AUUGAACGCUGGCGGCAUGCCUUACACAUGCAAGUCGAACGGUAACAGGGAGCUUGCUCCGCUGACGAGUGGCGAACGGGUGAGUAAUGUAUCGGAACGUACCUUUCAGUGGGGGAUAACGUAGCGAAAGUUACGCUAAUACCGCAUAUUCUGUGAGCAGGAAAGCAGGGGAUCGCAAGACCUUGCGCUGAUUGAGCGGCCGAUAUCAGAUUAGCUAGUUGGUGAGGUAAAGGCUCGCCAAGGCGACGAUCUGUAGCGGGUCUGAGAGGAUGUUCCGCCACGCUGGAACUGAGACACGGUCCAGCCUCCGACGGGAGGCAGCAGUGGGGAAUUUUGGACAAUGGGGGCAACCCUGAUCCAGCCAUGCCGCGUGAGUGAAGAAGGCCUUCGGGUUGUAAAGCUCUUUCGGCCGGGAAGAAAUCGCAUGGGUUAAUACCCUGGGGUCAUGACGGUACCGUAAGAAUAAGCACCGGCUAACUACGUGCCAGCAGCCGCCGUAACAC
rnacentral:rRNA from 1 species